GACGAACGCUGUCGGCGUGCUUAACACAUGCAAGUCGAACGGAAAGGCCCUGCUUUUGUGGGGUGCUCGAGUGGCGAACGUGUGAGUAACACGUGAGUAACCUGCCCUUGACUUUGGGAUAACUUCAGGAAACUGGGGCUAAUACCGGAUAGGAGCUCCUGCUGCAUGGUGGGGGUUGGAAAGUUUCGGCGGUUGGGGAUGGACUCGCGGCUUAUCAGCUUGUUGGUGGGGUAGUGGCUUACCAAGGCUUUGACGGGUAGCCGGCCUGAGAGGGUGACCGGCCACAUUGGGACUGAGAUACGGCCCAGACUCCUAAGGGAGGCAGCAGUGGGGAAUAUUGCACAAGGGGAGGAAGCCUGAUGCAGCAACGCAGCGUGCGGGAUGACGGCCUUCGGGUUGUAAACCGCUUUCGCCUGUGACGAAGAGUGAGUGACGGUAAUGGGUAAAGAAGCACCGGCUAACUACGUG
rnacentral:rRNA from 1 species